UACGUAGGGUGCAAGCGUUAAUCGGAAUUACUGGGCGUAAAGCGUGCGUAGACGGUCAAGUAAGUCGGGUGUGAAAGCCCCGGGCUCAACCUGGGAAUUGCAUUCGAGACUGCGUGGCUAGGGUGCGGAAGAGGGAAGCGGAAUUUCCGGUGUAGCGGUGAAAUGCGUAGAUAUCGGAAGGAACACCAGUGGCGAAAGCGGCUUCCUGGUCCAGCACCGACGUUCAGGCACGAAAGCGUGGGGAGCAAACAGG
rnacentral:rRNA from 1 species